UAGAAGGCUUGAGUUAUGUGUCGCCUAUCUGUUAAAUGAAAGACAUAACCUAUGGUCGUAGACGAAUAUGUUGGCAGAUGCUUGGACGUGGGUUCGACUCCCACCGGCUCCAUAA
rnacentral:tmRNA from 1 species